UACAGAGGGUGCGAGCGUUGUUCGGAAUUAUUGGGCGUAAAGGGCGCGUAGGCGGUGCGGUAAGUCACCUGUGAAAUCUCCUGGCUCAACUGGGAGCUUGCAGGCGAAACUGCCGUGCUGGAGUGUGGGAGAGGUGCGUGGAAUUCCCGGUGUAGCGGUGAAAUGCGCAGAUAUCAGGAGGAACACCGGUGGCGAAGGCGGGUCUCUGGGCCGAUACUGACGCUGAGGAGCGAAAGCGUGGGGAGCGAACAGG
rnacentral:rRNA from 1 species